CAGUAGCCGCGGUAAUACGAAGGGGGCUAGCGUUGCUCGGAAUUACUGGGCGUAAAGGGCGCGUAGGCGGACAGUUAAGUUGGGGGUGAAAGCCCGGGGCUCAACCUCGGAAUUGCCUUCAAUACUGGCUGUCUUGAGUAUGAGAGAGGUGUGUGGAACUCCGAGUGUAGAGGUGAAAUUCGUAGAUAUUCGGAAGAACACCAGUGGCGAAGGCGGCUCACUGGCUCAUUCUAGACGCUGAGGUGCGAAAGCGUGGGGAGCAAACAGGAUUAGAUACCCCAGUAGUCCCUGUCUCUUAUAC
rnacentral:rRNA from 1 species